rnacentral:rRNA from 1 species
AUUGAACGCUGGCGGCAUGCUUUACACAUGCAAGUCGAACGGCAGCACGAGUGCUUGCACUUGGUGGCGAGUGGCGAACGGGUGAGUAAUACAUCGGAACGUGUCCCUGAAGGUGGGGGAUAACGCAUACGAAAGAUGUGCUAAUACCGCAUAAUCUCUCAGGAGGAAAGCGAGGGGGAUCGAAAGACCUUGCGUCUUUUGGAGCGGCCGAUGUCUGAUUAGCUAGUUGGUGGGUAAGUGGCCUACCAAGGCAACGAUCAGUAGUUGGUCUGAGAGGAUGGCCAACCACACUGGACUGAGACACGG